rnacentral:tRNA from 1 species
ACCUUAAUAGUUUAAUUUAAAAUACUGGUUUGUGGUGCCGGUGAUGAAGUUUAUUAUUUCUUUGGGUU